GACGAACGCUGGCGGCGUGCUUAACACAUGCAAGUCGAACGGAAAGGCCCUGCUUUUGUGGGGUGCUCGAUUGGCGAACGGGUGAGUAACACGUGAGUAACCUGCCCUUGACUUUGGGAUAACUUCAGGAAACUGGGGCUAAUAUCGGAUAGGAGCUCCUGCUGCAUGUUGGGGGUUGGAAAGUUUCGGCGUUUGGGGAUGGACUCGCGGCUUAUCAGCUUGUUGGUGGGGUAGUGGCUUACCAAGGCUUUGACGGGUAGCCGGCCUGAGAGGGUGACCGGCCACAUUGGGACUGAGAUACGGCCCAGACUCCUACGGGAGGCAGCAGUGGGGAAUAUUGCACAAUGGGCGGAAGCCUGAUGCAGCAACGCCGCGUGCGGGAUGACGGCCUUCGGGUUGUAAACCGCUUUCGCCUGUGACGAAGCGUGAGUGACGGUAAUGGGUAAAGAAGCACCGGCUAACUACGUG
rnacentral:rRNA from 1 species